AUGCGCUCCGCCAUGGAGGAUGCUGCUCCACCCCGCCAUGGAGGAUGCUGCUCCACCCCUGCGCCGCUCCGUGCCCCCGACGCUAUGGAGGACGCCGCUCCAUCCCUGCUCCAGCCUCAAGGUUCUGAGGCAUCAUCUUGUGGAGGACUCAUGUUAAGAUCAAUCCCAAACAUCAUUGCGGCGGUGGAGCACUUGCUCAGAACAAGACAUGUUUGCAAAAUGCAUAAUGCAAAGGUUCAAGCUCUAUUCAAGUUCUGUUUAAUCCAGCUUCAUUUGGUAUUCAAGUUCUGUUUAAUACCAGCAGCAAUUAAGUUCUCUUUAAUUCAGUAUUCAGUACAGAACAUCAAGUAUUCAGUAUUCAUAAACAUCAAGGUGGAUCCGGCCGAGCUCUGCCGGUGGCUCAAGAGGAAGAUGAGUAAGGAUGUCAAGAUCGUCUGCCCUCAUCCGCCGGUUGCGAAUCCUAAGCAUAAAAUGAUACUGGUUCUGGGAAGCAGCUCAAGAACUGGGAACCGGGGACAAUCAAGGGAGGUGAUCAGCAACAGUAAGAAGGCUCUGCUAGACAAUGCCCUGAGCCAGCCCGACGCGUUCAAGAAACUAGAAUCACUCACUCAGUGCCCUGAUCUUUCAACAGCAACAGCAACAGAGGCGGGGGCGGGGAAUACCAGCAGCAACAGAGGCGAGGGCGGGCACGACCUUCGGAGGAGGGCCAGCACGGAGAGGAAGACCCUGGGCUUGGAGGAGAGGUUGAGCAGGGCCAACGCGGCGAUGAAGACCCUGGGCCAGAGCGGCGACGAAGACCCAGCGCCGCGACGGCGUCCAAAAUUGUCCGCGGCGACGGCGGCCAAGGCGGACCAAAUCGAGGACCUAGUCGUCGAUUUACUGCUUCUUGGCACGAUUCAGAGGGAGGUGACAAAGAGGAAGAACUUUAGGAGCAAUCCCGCUGCUCAGGUAGGCGAGGGCACACCCAUGGCGGCUGCGCAGCUGUGCGGCGGCGCAAGGCGCCUCCGUGGAGGUCCUGCGCGUCUCCUCCGCGACGACGCAGGUCGUCUCCUGCACAGGCGGCUUGGGUCCUGCGACGCGCGGAGACUCUCUCUGGGUGCUAAGGAGAACGGGGGAGGAAGACGGGGGAUGGUGGCCGGAGCCGGCGACGCGCGAGCGACGGUGGAGAAGUGA
rnacentral:rRNA from 1 species